rnacentral:lncRNA from 1 species
UCCCUCUCCUCUCUUUCUCUCUCCCUUUCCCUGCCUUCCCUCUCCUCUCUUUCUCUCUCCCUUUCCCUCCCUUCCCUCUCCCUCUCCUCUCUUUCUCUCUCUCUUUCCCUCCCUUCCCUCUCCCUCUCCUCUCUUUCUCUCUCUCUUUCCCUUGGUUUCCUUUGGUUGCAUUAUAACAGUCAAUCCCUAGCACACCCCAGUGGAUUUACAGUAUGUUUAAUAAGGUGAUCCUGUGUGUUCUAUACUUCCUGCUCUCUGGACCAGGAGGAAGACAUACCCAGUGAAUAAAACCCUACAUCUACGCCCCUGAUAAGUGGUCCUGUCAGUGGAUUUCCUGUAAUGUCCUGUGUCUCUUCAUCCACUGAUAGUGACCAGGCACUCCUGCCUACCCGCUUUAAUUCCAUUAGCCUCUCUCUCCUCAUAGUCUGAUCUACUUUACAGAGACCUGUUUGUGGGAUUUAUUUUGACAAAGAUGUGUUUGUGUCUGUGACAACAGUGAGCAUGGAGCUGUCCCUCCAUCAAAACCAUCUGGACACCCCCUGACUGGAUGGGGAUUUAUACAAACCAUUUAUAUACAUAUAUAUUUAUAUUACAGACUUUGAUUUGUCUUCAUGUAUUUUUUGCCUUUUGUUUUACUUGUGGAUGAUGUGAAACACAAGCAUUAGAUAUUACUGUACUGUUGGAGAUAUAAACACAAGCAUUAUGUAUUACUGUACUGUUGGAGCUAUAAACACAAGCAUUAUAUAUUACUGUACUGUUGGAGCUAGAAACACAAGCAUUAUAUAUUACUGUACUGUUGGAGCUAUAAACACAAGCAUUAGGUAUUACUGUACUGUUGGAGCUAGAAACACAAGCAUUAUAUAUUACUGUACUGUUGGAGCUAGAAACACAAGCAUUAUGUAUUACUGUACUGUUGGAGCUAUAAACACAAGCAUUAGGUAUUACUGUACUGUUGGAGCUAUAAACACAAGCAUUAUAUAUUACUGUACUGUUGGAGCUAGAAACACAAGCAUUAUGUAUUACUGUACUGUUGGAGCUAGAAACACAAGCAUUAUAUAUUACUGUACUGUUGGAGCUAUAAACACAAGCAUUAUGUAUUACUGUACUGUUGGAGCCAUAAACACAAGCAUUAUAUAUUACUGUACUGUUGGAGCUAGAAACACAAGCAUUAGGUAUAACUGUACUGUUGGAGCUAUAAACACAAGCAUUAGGUAUUACUGUACUGUUGGAGCUAUAAACACAAACAUUGUGUAUUACUGUACUGUUGGAGCUAUAAACACAAGCAUUAGGUAUUACUGUACUGUUGGAGCUAGAAACACAAGCAUUAUAUAUUACUGUACUGUUGGAGCUAGAAACACAAGCAUUAUGUAUUACUGUACUGUUGGAGCUAGAAACACAAGCAUUAGGUAUUACUGUACUGUUGGAGCUAGAAACACAAGCAUUAUAUAUUACUGUACUGUUGGAGCUAGAAACACAAGCAUUAUAUAUUACUGUACUGUUGGAGCUAGAAACACAAGCAUUAUAUAUUACUGUACUUUUGGAAGCUAUAAACACAAGCAUCAUAUCUUACUGUACUUUUGGAGCUCGAAACACAUGCAUUAUAUAUUACUGUACUGUUGGAGCUAUAAACACAAGCAUUAUAUAUUACUGUACUGUUGGAGCUAGAAACACAAGCAUUAUACAUUACUGUACUGUUGGAGCUAGAAACACAAGCAUUAUAUAUUACUGUACUGUUGGAGCUAUAAACACAAGCAUUAGGUAUUACUGUACUGUUGGAGCUAUAAACACAAGCAUUAUAUAUUACUGUACUGUUGGAGCUAGAAACACAAGCAUUAUAUAUUACUGUACUGUUGGAGCUAGAAACACAAGCAUUAUAUAUUACUGUACUGUUGGAGCUAUAAACACAAGCAUUAGGUAAUACUGUACUGUUGGAGCUAUAAACACAAGCAUUAGGUAUUACUGUACUGUUGGAGCUAGAAACACAAGCAUUAGGUAUUACUGUACUGUUGGAGCUAUAAACACAAGCAUUAUAUAUUACUGUACUGUUGGAGCUAUAAACACAAGCAUUAUAUAUUACUGUACUGUUGGAGCUAUAAACACAAGCAUUAGAUAUUACUGUACUGUUGGAGCUAUAAACACAAGCAUUAAGUAUUACUGUACUGUUGGAGCUAUAAACACAAGCAUUAUAUAUUACUGUACUGUUGGAGCUAUAAACACAAGCAUUAAGUAUUACUGUACUGUUGGAGCUAUAAACACAAGCAUUAUAUAUUACUGUACUGUUGGAGCUAUAAACACAAGCAUUAUAUAUUACUGUACUGUUGGAGCUAUAAACACAAGCAUUAUAUAUUACUGUACUGUUGGAGCUAGGACCAGCUUGCUUAGGGGAUAUUUUAGCAGUUCUGCAUUUUAUGAGUUCUGCAUGCAGUCUCUCUCUGUGUCUCACUCUCUCUCUCUCUCUCUCAAACUCACACUGUUCCUCCCUCUCUUUCCAUCUCUCUCUCCCUCGCUCUCUCCAUCUCUCCCCCGCCCCACCACGUUAAGCUCAGGAAGGGUGAUUGGUCUAAAUUGGAUCUAAUGUUUCUGUACCUGGCAGCAGAGAUGCCAGAGCCUGCUGCCCCAUUGUCAUCCAAUUACACACACACACGCACGCACGCACGCAC